rnacentral:lncRNA from 7 species
UGUGCCCAUUUCUUCAGCAGGGGGUUUGCAGACAGCUCAGCAGGAUGUCCUGGGACCAGUGCAGCCCAACUGGAAGUACCAGCGAGCUGAAAAACUCCCUUCAGAAGCACUCAGCCAUGGCCUACUGAGGAACUGCAAAGAGGGCUGAUCACUGGGACCUUGCAGUUGCAGAAAGAAAGGUAUUUGUAGCUGCACUCAAAGCGGUACUCUGAGGAAAGCUAGGUCCGGAGACUGUGAGGUUUCACUUUUCAAGACAGUCAUUUUUACAGUGCACUUUCAUACUGUCAGAGUUGCUGGGGAAGAAAUUCAGUCAGCCAUUAAAAGCAUUUCAUGAAGGAAAAUCAAACUCCUAGCAAACUGCAGUUUCCUGGUUUUUUUUUGGCCUUUGAAAAGUACAGAAGUGCUUUGGAAUUUCCUGGAUCUCUUUGGAAGACCUGCAGCUUCUGAAGGAGUCCUUGAGUGGUCUUAGGAACGAGCACUGCUUUAAAGCAUCAUGUCGAGUUUUUAUAGUGGUGUCUUGAAGAUGGCCAUUACAUCUAAAGUCUGAAGAAGGGCCUGUCUUUCUGAAAGCUUGCCUUUUUCUGGUAUCAUCAGUUGAUGUAAUAAAAGGUAUUGUCUCCACC